rnacentral:lncRNA from 1 species
CAAGCCCCCGAGUUCCUUCGGCCGCUAUUUCCUAGCCACACGAAAUCCAUCCGCACCAGCCUUGGGCUCCAUCCGACCUUUUUCUUGCGCAGCCCGGAUUACUUCGGUCGCAUAUUCUUGGGCAAGUCACAAAGGCCCGGUCGCAACUCAGCAUUUCAAUACUUUGCUGCCCAUUCUCAAAAUCUCGAAACAUUUCAGCUGCAACAGAGUAUAGCCCAGGUUGGGUGAUUUCUC